GGGCCCGUGGUUUAGUGGUAAAACACUUCCCUUGCACGGAAGAGCUCCGUGUUCGAUUCACGGCGGGUCCA
rnacentral:tRNA from 1 species